GACGAACGCUGGCGGCGUGCCUAAUACAUGCAAGUCGAACGAACCGCGACUGAGUGCUUGCACUUGGUCAAGGUGAGUGGCGAACGGGUGAGUAACACGUGGGUAACCUACCUCAUAGUGGGGGAUAACAGUCGGAAACGACUGCUAAUACCGCAUAGGACAUGGAAUCACAUGAUUCUGUGAGGAAAGGUGGCGCAAGCUAUCGCUAAGAGAUGGACCCGCGGUGCAUUAGCUAGUUGGUAGGGUAAGGGCCUACCAAGGCGAUGAUGCAUAGCCGACCUGAGAGGGUGAUCGGCCACAUUGGGACUGAGACACGGCCCAAACUCCUACGGGAGGCAGCAGUAGGGAAUCUUCCGCAACGGACGCAAGUCUGACGGAGCAACGCCGCGUGAGUGAAGAAGGUCUUCGGAUCGUAAAGCUCUGUUGUUAGAGAAGAACAGCGCAUAGAGUAACUGUUAUGCGUGUGACGGUAUCUAACCAGAAAGCCACGGCUAACUACGUG
rnacentral:rRNA from 1 species